rnacentral:lncRNA from 1 species
ACAGGAAUGUCAGAGGGGUAAAAUUGACUUUUAAUUGGAUUUUAGCUGGUUUGGUUGCAGGUUGUACGGAAAAAGAACCCUAAAAAUCUGAUUUUUAUGAGAAUAUCCAAAAGAAAAGUGGGAUUCCCAUGAAAAAUAAUAUUGAAUUAAAUCAAUUUUUGGUGGCACCAAAAACCCCAGUCAGCUGCUGAAUUGGAUCCGAGGCAAGAUAAUGAUGGAUAAAUGGAUUAGGUACCAGCACAAACGGCAAAAUUGUAAUAUUUGAUGGAAAAACCGAGGAAUUCCUGACCCAAAUUCCCAAUCCGUGCAGCCACGCCGCUCCCAAAGCAACCCCUGCUUCCCAAAGCUCGCUGCUCCUGCUUUUCCUUGGACCAGGGAUCGAGGCAUUCCCGAGGGAUGGAUGGAUGGGGAUGGAUGUGUUUGUCCCCUGGGCUGUCACCGUGUCCCCAAAUCCCCUCUCACCGCCUUCACCUCAUCCAAAAUUCCAGCAAUAAUCUCAUUUUCCCCCAGUGAGAGACUGACCUUGCACUUCCAUGUGGGAAAUGGGCCAAAAUUCCUGAUUUUUAUUUUUUUUUUGCCGGUUUUCUCCUUGUUUUGCUGUCCCUCCCUCUUUUGGGGUGUGUAUAAACACAAAACUGGGUUUAUACACACAAAUUUGGGGUGGGGGAGGUUUUGCUGUGCAGGUCAUAAAGACGGGGGAAGGUUUUUGUGUUUUCUUAAUAGGUGAAGAAAUCUCAGAAGACCUGAAAUUGCAACUUACUGAAUUAAAAUAAUUUAAAAAAAAAAUAAUUAAAAAAAAAAUUAGAAAUUUCCCCAGCUGUGGAAGAUGGAGCCUCAUUUUUGCAGCCACUUUGAAUCCCGAGUUCAUCUUUAAAACAAAAAAAAGGCGCUGGGGCAUUUUUUUAAAAAAUUUUUUGUUGUUUUUUUUUAUGGUUCUUUUUGGUUUUGUUUUUUUAAUUUUUUUUUUUUUGGAAGAGCUAAAAUAUCCCUGGCUGUCUCCAGCGUGCCACUUUUGCCAUGGACUCAAUUCCUCCAUUAGUUGUCAGAUUGUUCUGAGAGCGCCUCAGAGUUUGGAAUUGUUGGCUGAGAGGUUCCCUUGGAAUUGUCAGGAGGAAAAACAAAAAACACAAAAAAAAAAAAAAAGGAAAAAAAUUCUUUCUGCCCCUUUGUUAUUCAUUGACGGAUCCCUUCGGCCUACAGGAGAGGGGAACCGCAUGGCUGGGAAGAUCAAAGCCUGUGCUCAGCCUGGCCAGGGUUACUUUUAAAAAGAAGCUGUCACUGCUAAGCCAGGAGAAGCCUUUGGAGCGAAGCCAAUUCUUGC